GCGCAUGCGCAGUAAGAGACUGAUUUGCUUGGAAAAACCGAGGGAGCCAGAAGGAAAGAAGACAGGAGGAAAGAGGUAGAAAAUGUAUCCAAGUCCAGGUGUGAGGUUCCAGUGCAGCCAAUGCCAGACAGUUUCCCUCCAGGGAGGAGCCAGAAGAAGCUUCUGCAGCGACUGAACAAAUGGCUGGAAGUGCAGCAGGAGAUGUUUGAUGGUGCACCAAGGGAGCUCCAACAGCUAAGUGAUGCAUGUUGGGCCUGUAGGCUCAUAGCAUGUUGCAAUGUUCUGGACAGGUGGCCUGCAAUAGCACAGUAUAGCUUGAAGAGCUGCAUCUGAGAACCAUCCACAAAGAGCUGUUGAAGCAAGAGGGAUAUUGGCUCAGAUU
ensembl:lncRNA